AGCUGAUGCAGCACGCCGCGUGACGAUGAAGGUCUUCGGAUCGUAAAGUUCUGUUGCAGGGGAAGAUAAUGACGGUACCCUGUGAGGAAGCCCCGGCUAACUACGUGCCAGCAGCCGCGGUAAUACGUAGGGGGCUAGCGUUAUCCGGAUUUACUGGGCGUAAAGGGUGCGUAGGUGGUCCUUCAAGUCGGUGGUUAAAGGCUACGGCUCAACCGUAGUAAGCCGCCGAAACUGGAGGACUUGAGUGCAGGAGAGGAAAGUGGAAUUCCCAGUGUAGCGGUGAAAUGCGUAGAUAUUGGGAGGAACACCAGUAGCGAAGGCGGCUUUCUGGACUGCAACUGACACUGAGGCACGAAAGCGUGGGUAGCAAACA
rnacentral:rRNA from 1 species